rnacentral:lncRNA from 1 species
GCAUAUCUGAGGAAAUGCACGAAGUUGGAUGCGAGAGUAAUCAUCAUGGUGUGUGCGCUAUCUGUUUGAAUAAGAUAGUGCUUCAAGAAACUGCUCUUGUUAAAGGUUGCGAGCAUGCCUACUGGUUUGUAUAUACAACCAAUCUCUUCCAUCUGUUUACUGCCAUUUUGAUCACCAGAUGCUCCUGAUAGGAUCCUAUUCAAUUUACUGUUUUAAAUAAAUUGGUCAUAUAAAGUUUGUCCACAGCUAAUUGUUCUACACUUAUUAGUUAAAUCUGCUGCAAUUAAUCGGCUUGUCUUCGAUAGGAUCCUAGCUAUUCAGACCAUUUUCCAGUGGUUAUGGGGCUACAUCAAGGAUCAGCGCUUAGCCCUCUCUUGUUU